CAGUCGCCGCGGGAACACGGAGGGGGCUAGCGUUGUUCGGAAUUACUGGGCGUAAAGCGCACGUAGGCGGCUUGGUAAGUUAGAGGUGAAAGCCCGGAGCUCAACUCCGGAAUUGCCUUUAAGACUGCCGAGCUAGCAGGUGAGAGAGGUAAGUGGAAUUCCGAGUGUAGAGGUGAAAUUCGUAGAUAUUCGGAAGAACACCAGUGGCGAAGGCGGCUUACUGGCUCAUACUGGACGCUGAGGUGCGAAAGCGUGAGGAGCAAACAGGAUUAGAUACCCCGGUAGUCCCUGUCUCUUAUAC
rnacentral:rRNA from 1 species